CAGCCUGUUUUGGACUUUGUGACUUGUACUUUAAUGAGUCAGACUGCUGCACUUAAUAGCCAGUGCCAACCUUCCCCAACUUAAAUAAAGCACUAUUGACUGUGAUUGCUGCCAUGUCGCUGCAUCCUAAGGGCUCAGCUGGACAUCACAGUCGCUAUCGCGCAAGAUGGGACGGGAGGAGGAAAUGGAGAAGAACAGAGAAAGAGAUUGGAUACGGUGAAAUAUAAGGAACCAAUCUGAGGAUAUCAAUACCGCUGCGGAUGACCAUAACAAGGCCCAGCCAAGCAUGCAGAAGAAGGCCUUGUCAUCACAGCUACAAUCCUGGUUAAAGCAUCACUUUGCUAAAUCAACAGGAGCACCAAAAAGAGUGGAGGUGAUGUCAUGGGGAGUGAUGAAAUGCAAACGUCUCCAAGACAGGAAAUCAAUUCAUUAAGUUUCUGCAGCUCCCCCAGAUUUAAGAGGCUUCUUCCACCAAGUGACCUGUUGUAAUUCCUGCCUUCUUUUCUCCGUUCGGCUGCUCUUCCCUCCCAGCCUUGUCUAAUCAGGCUGCCCUCCCACUGCCGCCUGUUGAACGCCCAGCCUCGAUCUCCUGUUGAGGGCUCAAUCGCUGUAGGUAUCCCAAGAAACGACUUCCCAGCAUUGGCCUCUCAUUCUGCUCCUUUUCUGGCCUUGAGGUUUCUCAGCGCCUUAACACCUUGUGCCUCCUUGAAGUCCUGAGGUUUGAUCAGUGAAGAAGAACAUCCUCACUCCUUCCCCUGAACAUAAGGCAACCAUUGCAAUCUAUGGCAACAAAAGGAUGCUUGCCUUUUGUUAUCUUAAGUCUCCCUUUCACCUUUUCUACCUUUCUCCAUGCUGGCAUGUGUGUGAUCUUGCCUUUCUAUGGGCUUUUUUUCUGAACUCUGCUCUUUGAAACAAUACAUAUACUGCACACACACACACACACACACACACACACACACACACACACACACACACACACACACACACACACACACACACACACACACACACACACACACACACACAUUCACACACAUAUACAGAGGCUGAGAGUAACAAGAGCACCCCCUGUGCCUACGGGAUAGUUGAGCUCCUCUUACCUGCCAACACUGAGGGUUUGGUUACACACCUUCUCUGAUUGCACGCUCUCUGGGCUUGCUCUAAAAGGGCCGAGAGAGGCAGACUUUUGUGUGUAGGAGUGCGUGUGUGCGGGUAAUCAGCCUCGCCAAUCAGCCGAUUAUAAGACGUCUUUACAGGGUAAACAGACGUGUCUGUUCCUGAAUCGGUCUAAUCCUUAACCCAAUCAUCUCAACCUGGCUAAUCUAGCAUAGUGCCCCGCUCAUCUUUACAGCUACACACACUGUACAUUAAUCCAAAAUCAAAUAAAUAUGUUUUAUGCAGGAACUUGCACACACGGACAUGAUAAAUGGUGCCAUGGUGUUUUAAAAACGCUGAAGCAGAGAACAUUUAUCAUCGUUAUUAUUACUAUAGUAGUACUGUGCAGGUGCAGAUGUUCCCCGAAUUUGCAAAGUUGUUGAUCAAAGGCUGGGCAGAAAUCUGAAACAAGGCUGCUGUGAGUGCCUCUCGUCUAGUGUGCAGCCAAGUGUAUACUCUCGGAUUGUGCAGUACUUCAUGAAAUUGGAUCGAUCAGUACCAAAUUCUGCACUUUUAUAGGCUCCGACCGAAUUCUGUCGGUACAACCAUGUAUCGAUUCACAUAAAAUCAAACGGUGCUAUAUUUCAAUACCUUUGUCGCAUGUGACGUCACGUCUGGUUGAAGACUCAAACACUUGGCAGGCAAACAAGCACUCAAGCAGCACUCGGAGCGGACUGCCUCUUGGUAAUGUUAUUUUCAAUACCAUCAGUGCAGGUAUGUCUGAUAGAAAACGUUUAAAUGUUAAGCAAGGCUCCACUUUUUUAAAAUGCUCUAGCUCAAUGUUAAUUUACUUCAGAUUUGCCAUACACACGCUGACAUUAGCGAUUUUACAAAGAGAUUUCAUCACCUCCAAAUUAGGUAAUGAAAACUACAACGAAGAUGCACAUUACGAUCAAACAGCUGGUGUGUAAUACGUACAAUACCUGCAGUAGAAACAUUUUUAGGGUGCAACAAAAGACUAGAUUCAACUUAAUGGCAAAGACCAGGCAACACACCGUAGCCUAUACACUACUGUCAUCUAAUGUCUUGGAAUUGCAACUGCAUUCAAAGUUCACUAUAUAAUACUUGCAAAUGAGAUUCAGAAUUGUAAGAAAUUGUAAUAAAACAACUGGACAUCACAGUUAUUAUCCGCUUACAGUUUAAUACAAAAAAAUGGUUUUAUUAGUAAACCAAUUAACAUUAACACAUGAACACACACAGAAGUACCGAAAAUUGGUACCGUUGAGGCCUGGUAUUGAUUCCUAUUUACCGGGAAUUAAAAGCGUAUUGAUUCAAAUGUAAACGGUACACAUUUGUGAUCCUGCGUGCCUGCUUCUGUUUGUCUGCAUGUCGCCAAUAUGUUUGCAGAAACAUUCCACACUGACUUUCUACAGACUGUGUAAUAUAUUUAUUGCAAGUGUGACAUCACUAUUUUGUCUAAUUGGACAAUGCAAUGCAGAGAAAUGUCUUACAGCGCGGUGCCAGUACUCUGGUUCACCAUUCAGGGGCGUU